GUAGGUGGCAAGCGUUGUCCGGAAUUAUUGGGCGUAAAGCGCGCGCAGGCGGUUCUUUAAGUCUGAUGUGAAAGCCCACGGCUCAACCGUGGAGGGUCAUUGGAAACUGGAGAACUUGAGUACAGAAGAGGAAAGCGGAAUUCCACGUGUAGCGGUGAAAUGCGUAGAGAUGUGGAGGAACACCAGUGGCGAAGGCGGCUUUCUGGUCUGUAACUGACGCUGAGGCGCGAAAGCGUGGGGAGCAAACAGGGAUUAGAUACCCUGGUAGUCCACGCCGUAAACGAUGAGUGCUAAGUGUUAGGGGGGUUUCCGCCCCCUUAGUGCUGCAGCUAACGCAUUAAGCACUCCGCCUGGGGAGUACGGCCGCAAGGUUG
rnacentral:rRNA from 1 species